CUCCUACGGGAGGCAGCAGUGGGGAAUAUUGCACAAUGGGCGCAAGCCUGAUGCAGCCAUGCCGCGUGUGUGAAGAAGGCCUUCGGGUUGUAAAGCACUUUCAGCGGGGAGGAAGGCGGUGAGGUUAAUAACCUCAUCGAUUGACGUUACCCGCAGAAGAAGCACCGGCUAACUCCGUGCCAGCAGCCGCGGUAAUACGGAGGGUGCAAGCGUUAAUCGGAAUUACUGGGCGUAAAGCGCACGCAGGCGGUCUG
rnacentral:rRNA from 1 species